UCUGGUUUAGUUAUCUGUUUUCGUUUUUGUUAAGAUAGGAAAACUACACAGAUGGUCAGGCUCUCAAUCCUUCUUUGUUUAACUUGAUUUUUGUUUCUCAGGUUAAUCAUGUAAUCUUACAUAGAUAUUUCAGAAGCAUAUCACAGGAUUUCUCCGCUUGAACUGGGAAUGAUAAAUCUCCGCAGCUCUAUUUCUUCUUUGUUCCCAUAUAUCCAGUCGUCCAAGAUUGACCUAUUAGUUAGACUUACGGAGUUUUUGAGUAGGUGCACUAUUUUUUUACAGGGUCAUGUUCCAUGCUCCAGGACAUGCUGAAGAAACUGCAACUGCCCAAUCAAAUAACAGUGAGAGCACAAGAUAUAUGGUUCUGAGUGAAAGGAAAAUACUGAAAAACUAUAGCCAGAAUGGGCUUGUCAUUGAAGAUUAUGCUACCGCUUCUAUGUACAAUAUAUUUCUCUAUAUUUUCUUUACGUCUAUUUAUUACUAAUUACUACUUAUUAUCGGCUUGUAUUGCUUAACUGAUUUGUGUAAUUUUGUGCUGGUCCCAGUAAUUAAGUCAACUACAUUCUCUUU